AUGGCCCACGUGUUCCCCACGGCCCACGUGUUCCCCACAGCCCACGUGUCCCCCACGGCCCACGUGUCCCCCACGGCCCACGUGUUCCCCACAGCCCACGUGUUCCCCACUGCCCACGUGUUCCCCACCACGCACGUGUUCCCCAUGGCCCAGGUGUCCCCCACGGCCCAGGUGUUCCCCACAGCCCAGGUGUCCCCCAUGGCCCACGUGUCCCCCACGGCCCAGUCACACCGUCCCACAGACACCCCUGUCCACAGUCACCCCAUCCCACAGUCCCCCCAUCCCACAGUCCCCCCAUCCCCACAGUCCCCCCAUCCCACAGUCACCCCAUCCCACAGUCCCCCCAUCCCCACAGUCCCCCCAUCCCACAGUCACCCCAUCCCACAGUCCCCCCAUCCCACAGUCAUCCCAUCCCACAGUCCCCCCAUCCCACAGUCACCCCAUCCCACAGUCACCCCAUCCCACAGUCCCCCCAUCCCACAGUCAUCCCAUCCCACAGUCACCCCAUCCCACAGUCACCCCGUCCCACAGUCACCCCAUCCCACAGUCACCCCACCCCACAGUCACCCCGUCCCACAGUCACCCCAUCCCACAGUCCCCCCAUCCCACAGUCAUCCCAUCCCACAGUCACCCCAUCCCCACAGUCACCCCGUCCCCACAGUCACCCCGUCCCACAGUCACCCCAUCCCCACAGUCACCCCGUCCCACAGUCACCCCAUCCCACAGUCACCCCAUCCCCACAGUCACCCCGUCCCCACAGUCACCCCGUCCCACAGUCACCCCAUCCCACAGUCACCCCGUCCCACAGUCACCCCAUCCCCACAGUCACCCCGUCCCCACAGUCACCCCGUCCCACAGUCACCCCAUCCCACAGUCACCCCAUCCCACAGUCACCCCAUCCCCACAGUCACCCCGUCCCCACAGUCACCCCGUCCCACAGUCACCCCAUCCCACAGUCACCCCAUCCCCACAGUCACCCCGUCCCCACAGUCACCCCGUCCCACAGUCACCCCAUCCCCACAGUCACCCCGUCCCCACAGUCACCCCGUCCCACAGUCACCCCAUCCCCACAGUCACCCCGUCCCCACAGUCACCCCGUCCCACAGUCACCCCUGCCCACAGUCACCCCGUCCCACAGUCACCCCGUCCCACAGUCAGCCCUGGGCUGGGCUUCACUGUCCAGGGCAGGGCCUGGUGUUGCAUUCUGAGGCUGGGGCUGGGCAGGGUGAGCCCUGAGCAGGCGGCUUGUGCAAGGUUGGGGACAGGAGGACAGCAGCCUCCUCUCUGCCAGUGCAGUGUGUCCUUGUCUGUCCUGGCGCUGGCCCAGUCCCUACUGAAAUCCAGAGCCUUAACUCACGAGCCGAGGACUCCCCAAACCCCCAUUUACAGCCGGUGGUUCAGCGGUUCCUGUGCCUGGGAAGCUGAUGUGACCGACGCCCUAGCCAGUCCUACGGUGCACUCCGCAGCGCGAGGAGCCCAGAGCCCAUGGCAGUCACUGCCUGCGCCCCGCCCCUGCCCUCGGUGACCACGAGCUGCUCUGUGGCUCGUACACUCUACAAAUAUGCCAUGACCUCACCCAGGACCCCAGAUGCGCCGGGACCUCACCCAGGGUCUAGAUGUGCCGAGACCUCACCCAGGACCCCAGAUGCGCCGGGACCUCGCCCAGGACCCCAGAUGUGCCGGGACCUCGCCCAGGACCCCAGAUGCGCCGGGACCUCACCCAGGGUCUCAGAUGCACUGGGAUCUCACCCAGGACCCACCCCGUCCCUCCUUGCUCCCCCUGGCCUGUUACCCCCACUGGUCCUUGGCUCCCCCAGGAAGCCUUGAGGGGCCUCUGGGGAGUGGUGACCCGACCCCCAGGUGAGCAGUGGCGCGUUGGCCCCUCCUGCUGUGCCCCACCCGCUGGGCACUGAUGCCCUCAUCCGCAUGUGCAGGGACUGUGACGGCUCCGUUCCCCCGUCCCCACACUGAGUGUUUCCUGCAUAUCUCGCCCACAGUCACACCACCCCACAGUCACCCCACCCCACAGAUAUGACUGCAUAUCUCGCCUGGAGUGAACUCCAGAAAACAGAAUCCUGGGACUGCAGGCCUCUGCACCGUCGGGACCCCUGCCACACCCGUGCCGUGCACAGCGGACAGAGCUGGGCGAACCAGCAAGGACUGGGCACAGGGGCACACAGCCCUGGCGGAGCCUCCAUUUCCUCCGGGCACGUGGGGAGACUUCUAUCCUCCUCCUCCUCCCCCCCGAGGAGCUGCACAAACCCUGCUGCUCCCACACAAGCACUCUGCCCUCUGUGCCACACCACCAGGAGCCAGGAGCGUCUUCCAGGCCCCCCCCGAAGGUGCAGGGGCCCAAGCGCUUAGCCAUCCUCCACUGCUUUCCCAGACACAUUAGCAGCGAGCUGGAUCAGAAGUGGAGCAGCCGGGAUACAAGCCGGUGUCCAUAUGGGAUGCCAGCAUCGCAGAUGGUGGCUUCACCCGCUACGCCACAGCGCCAGCCACGGGGCCACUUUAACAAAGUGGCUGAAAAAUCUCUCCAGGCCCCUGCCUCCCCCGCAAAAGGAAGCUGGGGCUAUAGGGGCUGGCACCUGCUCUAUCUCACACUUUGUGGAAUGUUAUUUUCUCUUCUGCUGCAUUAAAAAACUGAUAUUAUGCUUGGGCCCCUGCACCCAUGCGGGAGAACUGGAAGAAGCUCCUGGCUGCUGGUCAUUACGGCCAUUUGGGGAAUGAAUCAGUGGAUGGGAGAUUCUCUCUCUGUGUCUCUCCCUUUCUCUGUGUAACUCUUUUAAAUAAAAAUAAAUAAAACUUAAACAACAACAACAACAAAAAUCGUAUCUCCUAUUAAUGCAGAAGGGCUGUGUCCACAUGGGGCUGAUGUGUGUGCACUCAGCA